rnacentral:rRNA from 1 species
GGUAACAGGAAGCAGCUUGCUGCUUCGCUGACGAGUGGCGGACGGGUGAGUAAUGUCUGGGAAACUGCCUGAUGGAGGGGGAUAACUACUGGAAACGGUAGCUAAUACCGCAUAACGUCGCAAGACCAAAGAGGGGGACCUUCGGGCCUCUUGCCAUCGGAUGUGCCCAGAUGGGAUUAGCUAGUAGGUGGGGUAACGGCUCACCUAGGCGACGAUCCCUAGCUGGUCUGAGAGGAUGACCAGCCACACUGGAACUGAGACACGGUCCAGACUCCUACGGGAGGCAGCAGUGGGGAAUAUUGCACAAUGGGCGCAAGCCUGAUGCAGCCAUGCCGCGUGUAUGAAGAAGGCCUUCGGGUUGUAAAGUACUUUCAGCGGGGAGGAAGGGAGUAAAGUUAAUACCUUUGCUCAUUGACGUUACCCGCAGAAGAAGCACCGGCUAACUCCGUGCCAGCAGCCGCGGUAAUACGGAGGGUGCAAGCGUUAAUCGGAAUUACUGGGCGUAAAGCGCACGCAGGCGGUUUGUUAAGUCAGAUGUGAAAUCCCCGGGCUCAACCUGGGAACUGCAUCUGAUACUGGCAAGCUUGAGUCUCGUAGAGGGGGGUAGAAUUCCAGGUGUAGCGGUGAAAUGCGUAGAGAUCUGGAGGAAUACCGGUGGCGAAGGCGGCCCCCUGGACGAAGACUGACGCUCAGGUGCGAAAGCGUGGGGAGCAAAC